GGGAUGCGCGUGCUAUACUGCAGUCGACGCUUCUUUUUCCCCGGAGCUUGCUCCACCGGAAAAAGAGGAGUGGCGAACGGGUGAGUAACACGUGGGUAACCUGCCCAUCAGAAGGGGAUAACACUUGGAAACAGGUGCUAAUACCGUAUAACAAUCAAAACCGCAUGGUUUUGAUUUGAAAGGCGCUUUCGGGUGUCGCUGAUGGAUGGACCCGCGGUGCAUUAGCUAGUUGGUGAGGUAACGGCUCACCAAGGCCACGAUGCAUAGCCGACCUGAGAGGGUGAUCGGCCACAUUGGGACUGAGACACGGCCCAAACUCCUACGGGAGGCAGCAGUAGGGAAUCUUCGGCAAUGGACGAAAGUCUGACCGAGCAACGCCGCGUGAGUGAAGAAGGUUUUCGGAUCGUAAAACUCUGUUGUUAGAGAAGAACAAGGAUGAGAGUAACUGUUCAUCCCUUGACGGUAUCUAACCAGAAAGCCACGGCUAACUACGUGCCAGCAGCCGCGGUAAUACGUAGGUGGCAAGCGUUGUCCGGAUUUAUUGGGCGUAAAGCGAGCGCAGGCGGUUUCUUAAGUCUGAUGUGAAAGCCCCCGGCUCAA
rnacentral:rRNA from 1 species